GACGAACGCUGGCGGCGUGCUUAACACAUGCAAGUCGAACGGAAAGGCCCUGCUUUUGUGGGGUGCUCGAGUGGCGAACGGGUGAGUAACACGUGAGUAACCUGCCCUUGACUUUGGGAUAACUUCAUGGAACUGGGGCUAAUACCGGAUAGGAACUCCUGCUGCAUGGUGGGGGUUGGAAAGUUUCGGCGGUUGGGGAUGGACUCGCGGCUUAUCAGCUUGUUGGUGGGGUAGUGGCUUACCAAGGCUUUGACGGGUAGCCGGCCUGAGAGGGUGACCGGCCACAUUGGGACUGAGAUACGGGCCAGACUCCUACGGGAGGCAGCAGUGGGGAAUAUUGCACAAUGGGCGGAAGCCUGAUGCAGCAACGCCGCGUGCGGGAUGACGGCCUUCGGGUUGUAAACCGCUUUCGCCUGUGACGAAGCGUGAGUGACGGUAAUGGGUAAAGAAGCAACGGCUAACUACGUG
rnacentral:rRNA from 1 species